GGUGUGGCUGCAGCCGAGAGUGUCUGCGGCUGCCGGGGGUCUCAGCCGAGCCCACGGGGAGGGGAGAUGGGUUAUGGGUUUCAUGAGUCUGGCUCGCAUCACUCGAGCAUCUCACGGCUCUGUCCCAGCACAGCGGCCCCGGUGACUCAUACUGCGAAACUGGAGCUUUUUUUUUUUUUUUUUUUUUUUUUUUUUUUUUUCUUUUUUUUUCAGUAGGAGCGCGGCUCAAUCAGUCAAUUACUUGAAGAGCCGCUCUAAUUUGGCACCCAAUUGUUCCCCCAGCUGCCGCUGCGUCUGAUCUCCGCUGUGGGCGGCAGGAGCAGGCUGCCUGCGCAAGGGAUGGAGCCCAGGCGCCCAAGGGAGGAGGAGGAGGAGGAGGAAGAGGAGGAGGAGAAGAGGAGGAGGCAGCAGCAUCAUCAGCAGCGGCAGGGAGGCCACUCUGCCUGGCUGAACAGCCCCGCGCCCGCAGAACAGCAGCACUAAAAAUGCAGGCAUUAAAAAUAUCUCAGGGUCACAGUGACUUGCCUCCCGUCACGUGAGAAUUCAGCGGCUGAGCCAGCAGCGGAGCACAAGCACUCGACCUACGUCUCCUGCCCUUUAGCCCCUACAAGCAGUCCCUUUUUUCCAAGAAAUCCAAGAAUAGGAUCUGUACCGUCACAGCUGUUUUUAUGUCAGCGAGGAUUUUUUUUUCCCGAAGAAGAGGAAGCUUGCUUUCAGCGAGGAGCCUCGAUUAAAGCCGCACAGCGCUGCGAGGGGCUGCGGUGCUCCCCACUCCAGGAUGGAGGUACCCAGGAGCAAGGAGAGGUGUGGCUGCAGUCAAAUGCGUGUCCCCAGGCUAUAGCUCCUCUUUCACCCUUCUAGCACAAGCGUUUCCAUAUUCUGUGCGUUCACACACACGCAAACGCCUGCCUCAGCCUGCGCUGCUGCCAUGGAGCUCCUCCAGCUGCACCCGCAGGCAGGCAGGCUCCCCGUGUAUCCCGGCAGAGAGCAUUCCCUACCUGCACACCUCCCAGCCCUGCUCCUGCCCCUCUGGUUUACCCUUUGAGGCCUGUUCAAAUUGAGGUUCCAAGCAGCACACUCAUUUUGGAGAAAGCCCAUCUGCGC
ensembl:lncRNA